rnacentral:lncRNA from 1 species
UGCUUAUGCUACAAAAUAAGGUGAACACUGGGUAAGGCGGCUGUAAAGUCAUGUCCUGGCCACAGUGGAAGCAGAAGCCUAAAACUAUAGCAGGCACACCACUGGCAAGGCUAUCUACUCAAGUAGCGUUUGGACUAGUGGGAUCCUCACUACUGGUUGGUGCAGCUCUGUACAUAUCACUUUCUGACGAUAGGAAAGAAAAAGUUCAGAAUACUGCUAGCAACUUUACUGAGGAAGAACAUAAGAUAUUGAAUGAGAUGAAGAUGCGGAAAUUGCUGCCGGUACGGCCAAGUCAAAAGGUCAAAACCGAUGAAGACUACGACAGGGAGCACCACCGGUUUGCGUAGUUCCUUUACUGCAGUGUAAAGGGACAGUAUCCGGCUCCAGAGUACAGUGGUAGUGUGAACGAAUUGUGUGUGACAGUGUCCGUGUCACACUGUGACAAAGACAGAACAGUGGACUGAGGGACCGCAGUGCCCGUGUGUGAGUGUUUCUGGAGGUACCCUCCACUGAGUAUCUGUAUCCACUGGACAGCAGCACGGUCUAACUGCCGUGACACGGGGUGUAUUACGGACCGGCCAUGUCUCAGUCCAGUCAACGGGUCAGCAAACUGAGUCGGCGGGCCGGCAGGAGCGGCCGCCAGCCGCCCACCUCGGCCCCGGAGCCGCCCGACCUGGACACGAGCGACGACUUCACGCCCAGUCUCUCCUUCGCUCGGUCCCGGACCCGGUCCACGCUCUCCCAGUCGUCGUGCGCGGCCGAGCCAUCCAGCACUCAGUCCCAGCGGCUGUCAGG